GGUUACUAAGGUAGAAUUUAAGUGGAUAUUACUUAAAAGCAACCAAAUUUCACUAGGUGAAAAAAGUAAAAUGGCACCGCCUUAAUGCCACCGGUUUUUCAAAACCAGUGGCAAAAAUAUGAAUUAAAGUAGGCGCCUUUUUUAGAAGAGGUUUUUGCCACCGGUUCGGCUCAAACCGGUGGAAAAAACCAUUAUUCCCACCUAUUUGAACCAAACCGGUGGCAAAAAGCUUUUAAACAACAAAAAAAAACCCCUUAUAUUCCCCUAACCCUACCCUCACCCUCAUACUCAGCCUCCAUCCUUUCUCUCUCCUAAUCUCCUCUCUUCUCUCUCCUCUCCCUAAAAAAAUCCCCCCACAACCUAAUAAUGGCAGCAACGACAGUAGCACCACCAGCAACAAUCACCAUCACCGGAACCCGAACCCGAACGACACCCAAGACGUCAAUUUCAACGGCAGCCACCUCAUCAAAACCACCGUCACCUCCGACCCGAACAACACCCAAGAUUUUGGGUUUAAUUAUUCGAAUUUUCUGGGUUCUUGCAUGUGUUUUUUCGGGUACAUUGAUUUAGAUCUUAAAUUGAAGAAUCAAGAUUCAAGAAUAUUGAUUUAGAUGUGUAUGGUUUUUUUUAUUUAUAUUGUAAUAUAUUUUUGAUUUACGAGUAUAUUGUAAUUUUUUUAAUUUAUAUUGUAAAUUGUUUUUUAUUUAUUUAUAUGUUGUAAUUAAUUGUAUUUUUUUUUUAUUAUAUAUUGUAAAAUUUGGAUUAUAUUAUUGAAAGUCAUCGAUUUAAUUG